rnacentral:misc_RNA from 1 species
UCCGGUUUGUCACCGGCAGUCUCACAUGAGUCCCCAACUAAAUGCUGGCAACAUGCGACGGGGGUUGCGCUCGUUGCGGGACUUAACCCAACAUCUCACGACACGAGCUGACGACAGCCAUGCAGCACCUGUCUCAUGGUUCCUUACGGCACUCCCACAUCUCUGCGGGAUUCCAUAGAUGUCAAGACCAGGUAAGGUUCUUCGCGUUGCAUCGAAUUAAACCACAUGCUCCACCGCUUGUGCGGGUCCCCGUCAAUUCCUUUGAGUUUUAAUCUUGCGACCGUACUCCCCAGGCGGGAUGCUUAAAGCGUUAGCUGCGCCACGAAAGGAUUCGACACCUCUCACAGCAAACGUGCACCGUUUACAGCUAGGACUAC